rnacentral:rRNA from 1 species
UACGUAGGGGGCAAGCGUUGUCCGGAUUUAUUGGGCGUAAAGAGCGUGUAGGCGGCCAUGUAGGUCCGUUGUGAAAACUCGAGGCUCAACCUCGAGACGCCGAUGGAAACCAUCUGGCUAGAGUCCGGAAGAGGAGAGUGGAAUUCCCGGUGUAGCGGUGAAAUGCGCAGAUAUCGGGAAGAACACCCGUGGCUAAGGCGGCUCUCUAGUACGGUACUGACGCUGAGACGCGAAAGCGUGGGGAGCGAACAGG